rnacentral:lncRNA from 1 species
AUGUUAAGAUCUCCUCAAUUUAAGGUAAACAGACGAGGAGGCAUACACAGGCCUCUACAUUAUGGACAAGACUUUACCCUCCUUACACCUGAUGAAUAUAACAGGAAACCUGUUCGAUCACCAUGCACUGCAAAAUCAUUAGAGGUGUGGAUACGGAGAACAUCAACAUGCCAGAGGAUAUACCCAUUGGACUUGGGGCUCUGCUGGGAGUUUACCUCAUAUUUAAAUUUUUUAAAUUCUGCUUUCCCACUAAAAUCAUAAUAAACACUGACGACUAAAAUAGUGUUAUUGUUGUUAUUGUAAUGCAUAUUAAUAA